rnacentral:tRNA from 1 species
GAGAAGGAUUCCAAGCUGGUUAGGAGGUGAGCUGUAAACUCAUUAGUUUGAUACUAUGGGGGGUUCGAAUCCCUCCCUUCUCA